UACGUAGGGUGCGAGCGUUGUCCGGAAUUAUUGGGCGUAAAGAGCUCGUAGGCGGUUUGUCGCGUCUGCCGUGAAAGUCCGGGGCUCAACUCCGGAUCUGCGGUGGGUACGGGCAGACUAGAGUGAUGUAGGGGAGACUGGAAUUCCUGGUGUAGCGGUGAAAUGCGCAGAUAUCAGGAAGAACACCGGUGGCGAAGGCGGCUCUCUGGGCCUUACCUGACGCUGAGGAGCGAAAGCGUGGGUAGCGAACAGG
rnacentral:rRNA from 1 species